rnacentral:snoRNA from 1 species
AGCCUACUGGUGCUUAUCAUGGGCAUACUCUUUAUACCGACUGUAGAGAAAGAGGAGAAAAACCCACCCCAUAUAUACUUGGGCCUUUUGCCUGGUCUGUACUGUGAAUGGAAGGACAUGG